UAACAUGCUUGAUGUUUCAUCAGUUAUUCCCUCUUACUAGCAAUAAAACUAUGAGAAUUAGUAUGAGUAAAUUCAUUGAAGUGAAACAUGCAGUAAACUUUUAAAGAUUAUGGCUAAAGUAAAGAUUAUUCAUGAUUCUUACUGAAAGCAGUCAGAUCUCAGAUAUGAGAGCAGAGAUCAAACCACCAGAUAAACCAGUUACCAGAAACCAGCGGAAGAAAGAGCAAGAGAGACAGACACAAGGAGAGAAUAAAUCAACCAAGACGGGUAACAUUCUUAUGUCAUGAGCACAGCGCUGUAGAAAUCUCCUGAAUAUAUCUAGGUCUACCAGCUCUUGUUUGGUCUGUCAGGAAUCUAAUUCAUCACAGAAAAAAUGGACACCGGAUUUCAGUCUUCAUCAUCCUCCUCCUCCUCACUGACUUUGUUGAGCUUCUCUUGAGUCUUUACAUACUGAUCAAAUUUUUCUUAAAUGACAUCAACUUUACUUUGGAUUGGACAUUUCAGGUUUUCUGGGCUUUACUGUGGGCAUCAAGAGACUGUGGUAUUCUCUUAAACCAGCUGGUGGCGCUAGAGGGAAUUCUCUCUGUGAAAUAUCCACUGUAUACAGCUACUGUUUUCUCUUCGUCAUGUUUUAUAAUUUUCUAUAUUUUUGUGUUUUUCUGUAUCUUUAUUGGUGAUAUUAUUUUAGAUCCUCUGCCUCGGAUCUUUAUUGCUCUACUUAUGUUCAUUGUGUCAGUAAUCAUAUGGAUAAUAUCUUGUGGAGCUUCAUGUUCUGCUGAUCGUCACUCUCACACAUCCAGGAAACCAGAUCAUCAUAUUUUGGUUAUUUUCAUAUUCAAUCUGCUGGUGUUUUGUCUGCCCUUUAUUUUACUCAAAUUCUUUUUAUUGUCUCCUAAAUUUGUACCAUAUCUUCUUCUUCUUUGGCUUAGUCCGUCAUUCUUGGUGAGUGUGAGAUUGAUUUCAGAUCCUCUCCUGUGUGUGCUGGUCUGCAGGCAGAAUCUCAGAAUUCAAAGAUCACAAAACCUUGAAGGGACCAGUUUAGUUACCUCAAAGAUGGAAAUCUAA
ensembl:lncRNA